AGAAAGUAAGAGGAUGUCUGCAAUAAGUCGAUAAAAUAAGAUAGGAUCCAAAUGUGGUAGAAGAGGAAACUGGAAUAUUUUAUUUGCCUUGAUAAAUAAUGAGGAGUAAAAGAAAGAAAGGAAAUGAGUGAAAAAAGUACAAGAAUAUCGUAGAAAUGAAACGACAAAGGACAACAACUUUCAGGCACCAGAAGACGAAGCUUUUGCUGUCACAUGACACCGUCACACUGAGUUUGGUUUGUUGGCCAAAGUUUAGCCAGGACAGUGAAAGACACCAGCAUAUGAAAGAGAGGAGGCACCGUGUGAUUGGGAGUGAAAGGGAAGAGAAGAAAGAAAUGAUAGAAUUGUUGAGAUAACAUGGUGUAGAGAUGGAUGAACACAGCAGACCACGCAGCAUCAGAGGAGCAGGAAGGCUGAUGUUUCGGAUUUGGACCCUUCUACAGAAAUGGAAGCGGGGAAGGGGAUUCUGAAAUAAAUAGGGAGAGAGAGGAGGCGGAUGGAAGAUGGAUAAAGGAGCAGAUAGGUGGAGAGGACACAGACACAUCAAGGAGGUGGGGAUGGAGCCAGUAAAGGUGA